AUGACGAGGCCCGCCCAUGCACGCCUCCUGGCCCACACUGCCGUCGCGCUCCUCCUGCUGGCGGUGACCCUAGUGGCCACAGCGGCCGCCACGGUGCAGCAGGCCGACGCCCUUCUCACCUGGAGGGCCAGCCUCGCCGCCACGGCCGCGCUGUCCAGCUGGAACAACGCAACGCCGGUCUCGCUCUGCUCCUCCUGGCGCGGCGUGGCCUGCGAUGCCUCCGGUCGCGUCACGUCGCUCACGCUCCGGGGGCUCGGCCUCACCGGCACGCUGGACACGCUCGAUGCUGCGGCGCUGCCGGCCCUGGCCGCGCUCGACCUCAACGAUAACAAACUCGGCGGCCCCAUCCCGGUGAGCCUCUCGCGGCUGCGCUCACUCGCCACGCUCGACCUCGGCAGCAACAACUUCAACGGCUCCAUCCCGCCGCAGCUCGGCGACCUCUCCGGCCUCGUCGACCUCCGCCUCUACAACAACAGCCUCGCCGGCGACAUCCCGCAUCAGCUCACCAGGCUCCCCAGGAUCACGCACCUCGACCUCGGCUCCAACUUCCUCACCAACCACAAGGACUACCACAGGUUCUCGCCCAUGCCCACCGUCACCUUCCUCUCGCUCUACCUCAACUACCUCGACGGCAGUUUCCCGGAGUUCAUCCUCCAAAGCGGCAACAUCACCUACCUCGACCUGUCGCAAAACACUCUUUCUGAACCAAUACCGGACUCGCUGCCGGAGAACCUCCCCAACCUCAUGUACCUCAACCUGUCCAUCAAUGCCUUCUCCGGGCGGAUACCGGCGUCGCUGUCGAAGCUGGGGAAGCUCCAGGACCUGCGUGUUGGCGGUAACAAUCUGACGGGCGGAAUCCCCGAGUUCCUUGGGUCCAUGUCCCAGCUGAGAGUUCUCGUUCUCUAUGGGAACCAGCUCGGUGGAUCGAUCCCGCCAGUUCUUGGCCGGCUCAAAAUGCUACAGCACCUUGACGUCAAGAUCGCCGGGUUGGUUUCCACUAUUCCACCGGAGCUAGGCAACCUUGACAAUGUCAAUUUUAUCGACCUGUCCAUGAACCAGCUCUCAGGUGGCUUGCCACCGGAGUUGGCCGGGAUGCGCCAAAUGUGUGAGUUUGGCAUAUCGUCGAACAAACUUGCCGGUCAGAUUCCACCAGCUUUGUUCACGAGCUGGCUAGAGCUCAUAUCAUUCCAAGUGCAGAAUAACUCGUUUUCAGGGAAGAUUCCACCAGAGAUCGGCAAGGCAACCAAGCUCAUAAUCUUGUUUCUCUUCAGCAACAACCUUGUUGGCCAUAUUCCUGCAGAGCUGGGCGAGCUUGUGAGAUUGAAUCAGUUGGAUUUGUCGGUGAACUCUCUCACGGGAUCGAUUCCCAGCUCGCUCGGCAACCUCACGCAACUCACGAGGCUGGCGCUCUUCUUUAACCGGCUCACUGGUGUGAUCCCGACGGAGAUUGGCAGCAUGACGGCGUUGCAAGUCUUGGAUGUCAACACCAACAGUUUAGAAGGGGAGCUACCCGCCACCAUCACAUCGCUUAGGAAUCUCCAAUACCUCGCCCUGUUUGACAACAACUUCAACGGCACCAUACCGCCCGACCUUGGGAAGGGGCUAAGCUUAACCGAUGCCAGUUUCGCAAACAACAGCUUCUCCGGCGAGCUGCCACAGAGACUGUGUGAUGGCUUUGCGCUGCAGAACUUCACGGUGAACCACAACAACUUCAGCGGCAGGCUGCCAUCAUGCUUGAAAAAUUGCACACGGUUGUUCCGGAUGCGGCUGGAAGGUGGCAACCAAUUCACCGGGGACAUCUCCAAGGUGUUUGGUGUCCAUCCCAACUUGGACUACUUGGAUGUCUCGGGGAAUCAGCUGACAGGGAACUUAUCAUCUGAUUGGUCACAAUGCACCAAUCUUACACUCUUAAACAUGAACGGUAAUCGAAUAUCUGGCAAUAUUGAUGCAGCCUUCUGCGAAUUGAUCUCUCUCCGGUCUCUGGAUCUAUCAAAUAACCAAUUCACCGGGGAGCUCCCAAGUUGCUGGUGGAAACUCAAAAGUAUGUGGUUAAUGGAUUUGUCCAACAACGGCUUUUCAGGUGAACUUCCCAUAUCAACAAGCUUGGGCCUUGAACUCCAGUCACUUCGUGUUGCUAAUAAUAGCUUUCUUGGAGUUUUUCCAUCCGUAAUUGAAACCUGCAGAUCUCUCGCCAUCCUAGAUCUUGGGAACAACAUGUUCUUUGGUGAUAUCCCCUCUUGGGUUGGAACCAAUGUCCCUCUUCUAAUAAUUCUGAGCCUCCCAUCCAACAACUUCAGUGGUGUCGUUCCACCCGAGUUAUCCCAACUUUCUAAUCUGCUAGUCCUGGACCUAUCCAGCAACUCCUUCUCAGGUGAGAUCCUCAUGGUGAUGCCAAACCACAAUUGCUCUCUCAAGUCAUCUCAUCUCGAGUUAUCCCAACUUUCUUAUUUGCAAGUCCUGGACCUGUCCAGCAACUCCUUCUCAGGUGAGAUCCUCACAGCCAUGCCAAACCACAAUUGCUCUCUCGAGUCGUUUCAUCUCGCUGGCAAUGGCUUUGUGGGCGCCUUCCCGCCAUUCCUCCAAAGCUGCAACUCCCUGGCCACCCUGGACAUCGGGAACAACCGGUUCGUUGGUGGUAUCCCUACAUGGAUCGGGAGUCAGCUUCCAUUAUUGAAUAUCCUUAGACUUAGAUCAAACAAUUUCACCGGAGAUAUCCCCCCCGAGUUAUCGAGGCUUUCACAACUUCAGCUGCUCGAUAUGGCCAAAAAUAGCUUGACAGGAUCACUUCCGGUAGCCUUUGGCAACUUGAAGUCCAUGAGGCAUAAUCUUCCCCCAUUGGUCCAACCAAGUCGGAUUUUCCAUCUUGAAAGAGUCAACAUAUCUUGGAAGGGCCGUGAACAGACUUUUUGGAAUGGUAUCGGGUUAAUAACAGGCAGUAUUCCAGAAAGAAUCGGCAGUUUGGAGCUAUUGGAGUUCCUUGACCUCUCAAGCAAUGACCUUUCAGGUGGCAUUCCUCCUAGCAUUUCAAAUCUGCUGUCCCUGGGCAUGUUAAAUCUCUCAAACAAUCACUUAUGGGGCCGCAUACCUACCGGGAGUCAGUUACAAACACUCACAGAUCCAUCAAUAUAUGGCAACAAUCUGGGGCUCUGUGGCUUCCCAUUGAGCGUGUGUGAGCCUGCAUUGGGCGAGGGAACUGAAGAUCACUCAAAAGUCGGUGACUUGGGGCUGUGUUACUCUGUAAUUCUUGGCAUUGUUUCCGGCUUCUGGCUUUGGUUUGGAGCUCUGCUUUUCCUGCAACAGUGGAGAUUUUCCUUUCUCGAUUUUGUUGACAGCUUAGGGAUCAAGAUAGCUGCUGUCAGGCGCUAA
rnacentral:rRNA from 1 species